GUGGAAGCAGAAAUGAAAACACUGAACAUUUACUUUAAAAAAAAUAGAGAAGAGAUUACUAUUAACAUUGCCUUUGAAAGCUUACCGUCCAUGUGACCUGAACCGUGGUGGGAGUCAGCACAACUGGAUUAUGAAGACGGACAAGGACAUCUCCUAGCUCUUUCUGCACUUGCCUGUGGUCCACUCCUUGUGCUGGUGGGCUGAUAUCUGCAGUUAGAGAAGAGAAUCAUUCCCACCUUUAAAAAUUCAUAUUAAAAUUACAAUUUAUUUUAUGUAAAUCAACCUCAUGUCUUUAGAACUAAUUACAGGGAAACAAAACGAAAACUCUCUUGUGACAAAAAGCAUUUAAGCCUAUAUAUAUAAAUAUACCACUGUGGUAGGACAUAAUGAAAGAUGAUAUUGAUCUUUAUUAAAAAUAUACUAAUAGAAGAGUAUUUGUAAUCCCUCAUCCGCAUUCAAAUGCAGACACACUGUUGUAUAAGAUCACUUACUUUAUUACUAAAGGAUAAAGUAUGUGCUGUAAGACUUCUCUACAGAAGUCUAGAAAGAUCUCUAGAAAGAGCAGCUUUGUACAGAUGUUGGUGUAUUGAAUGAUUUUCUGGAUGUGUAAAUUGGGAUAUAUCUAAAAACUGAUGCUAAGGGACCUGUUAAUCCCUUGUCCCAAUUUGCAGGUUGUGUUUUCUUCUUGACCUACUUCAGUCUGGGAGCAUGGAUGGAGAAGUAAUGGUGGACUAGGAAAGUGAAUUCUGUCAUUAAAGGUAAAUAGAGUUGGGGGAAGAGGGGAAACAGCUCCUCAAAUUUGCAAAGAUACUUUUGACAGAAAUAGUUAUAAUACUGAUAACAUGUUCUAAAGUAAUACAUUUUGAGCAGUACUCUAAUACCUGACACGAGGUCAUGCAGACAUGUUUAGGAAUAGUGGUGGGGAGAAGGGAAGAAAGAAAGGUCAUGUUUAAAAUAUUAUACCCUCAGUCACACAUUGUUAUGCCACAUUAUUCAUCAGUCUCCUAAGUAC
ensembl:lncRNA novel transcript, antisense to ROBO2